GUUUCUUUGAAAAGUAGAUAAACAUGAUUUG
rnacentral:rRNA from 1 species